rnacentral:rRNA from 1 species
AGUGAACGCUGGCGGUAGGCCUAACACAUGCAAGUCGAACGGCAGCACAGUAAGAGCUUGCUCUUACGGGUGGCGAGUGGCGGACGGGUGAGGAAUACAUCGGAAUCUACUUUUUCGUGGGGGAUAACGUAGGGAAACUUACGCUAAUACCGCAUACGACCUACGGGUGAAAGCAGGGGAUCUUCGGACCUUGCGCGAUUGAAUGAGCCGAUGUCGGAUUAGCUAGUUGGCGGGGUAAAGGCCCACCAAGGCGACGAUCCGUAGCUGGUCUGAGAGGAUGAUCAGCCACACUGGAACUGAGACACGGUCCAGAGUCCUACGGGAGGCAGCAGUGGGGAAUAUUGGACAAUGGGCGCAAGCCUGAUACAGCCAUACCGCGUGGGUGAAGAAGGCCUUCGGGUUGUAAAGCCCUUUUGUUGGGAAAGAAAAGCAGCAGGUUAAUACCCCGCUGUUCUGACGGUACCCAAAGAAUAAGCACCGGCUAACUUCGUG